rnacentral:lncRNA from 1 species
ACACCAACUACUCCUAAAGUUCGAGUGAGGGAAAGACAACUUAGCUAAAACAUCUCUAUUUUUGGAUUUUUCUAAUUUUUCAUUUUUUAGGGUUUUUUAUUUUUUUAGAAUUACACUAAAGCCCUCCCCAUACCUAAAUCAUGCAUUGUCCUCAAUGUAUGCAAAAGAGAGAAUUGAAAUGAGAGAGUAAAGAGGAAAAAUACCUGAAUAGGAG